rnacentral:rRNA from 1 species
UACAGAGGUCCCAAGCGUUGUUCGGAUUCACUGGGCGUAAAGGGUGCGUAGGUGGUCGGGUAAGUCUAAUGUGAAAUCUCCGAGCUUAACUCGGAAACUGCAUCGGAUACUAUUCGGCUCGAGGGUUGGAGGGGGGACUGGAAUACUUGGUGUAGCAGUGAAAUGCGUAGAUAUCAAGUGGAACACCAGUGGCGAAGGCGAGUCCCUGGACAACUCCUGACACUGAGGCACGAAAGCCAGGGGAGCGAACGGG